rnacentral:rRNA from 1 species
UUAGAGUUUGAUCCUGGCUCAGGAUGAACGCUAGCGGCAGGCUUAACACAUGCAAGUCGAGGGGCAGCGAGAUCAGUGCUUGCACUGAUUGUCGGCGACCGGCGCACGGGUGCGUAACGCGUAUGCAACCUACCCAUUACAGGGGGAUAACACUGAGAAAUCGGUACUAAUACCCCAUAACAUCCAGGGAGGCAUCUUCUUGGGUUGAAAACUCCGGUGGUAAUGGAUGGGCAUGCGUUGUAUUAGUUAGUUGGUGGGGUAACGGCUCACCAAGACAACGAUACAUAGGGGGACUGAGAGGUUAACCCCCCACAUUGGUACUGAGACACGGACCAAACUCCUACGGGAGGCAGCAGUGAGGAAUAUUGGUCAAUGGACGCAAGUCUGAACCAGCCAUGCCGCGUGCAGGAAGACGGCUCUAUGAGUUGUAAACUGCUUUUGUACGAGGGUAAACGCAGAUACGCGUAUCUGUCUGAAAGUAUCGUACGAAUAAGGAUCGGCUAACUCCGUGCCAGCAGCCGCGGUAAUACGGAGGAUUCAAGCGUUAUCCGGAUUUAUUGGGUUUAAAGGGUGCGUAGGCGGUCGGAUAAGUUAGAGGUGAAAUCCCGGGGCUCAACUUCGGAAUUGCCUCUGAUACUGUUCGGCUAGAGAGUAGUUGCGGUAGGCGGAAUGUAUGGUGUAGCGGUGAAAUGCUUAGAGAUCAUACAGAACACCGAUUGCGAAGGCAGCUUACCAAGCUACUUCUGACGUUGAGGCACGAAAGCGUGGGGAGCAAACAGGAUUAGAUACCCUGGUAGUCCACGCAGUAAACGAUGAUAACUCGUUGUCGGCGAUACAGUGUCGGUGACUAAGCGAAAGCGAUAAGUUAUCCACCUGGGGAGUACGUUCGCAAGAAUGAAACUCAAAGGAAUUGACGGGGGCCCGCACAAGCGGAGGAACAUGUGGUUUAAUUCGAUGAUACGCGAGGAACCUUACCCGGGCUUGAAAGUUAGUGACGGAUCUUGAAAGAGGUCUUCCCUUCGGGGCACGAAACUAGGUGCUGCAUGGUUGUCGUCAGCUCGUGCCGUGAGGUGUCGGGUUAAGUCCCAUAACGAGCGCAACCCCUACCGUUAGUUGCCAGCAGGUCAAGCUGGGCACUCUGACGGGACUGCCGGUGUAAGCCGAGAGGAAGGUGGGGAUGACGUCAAAUCAGCACGGCCCUUACGUCCGGGGCUACACACGUGUUACAAUGGCAGGUACAGAGGGCAGCUACCCAGCGAUGGGAUGCGAAUCUCGAAAGCCUGUCUCAGUUCGGAUUGGAGGCUGAAACCCGCCUCCAUGAAGUUGGAUUCGCUAGUAAUCGCGCAUCAGCCAUGGCGCGGUGAAUACGUUCCCGGGCCUUGCACUCACCGCCCGUCA